CAGUCGCCACGGUAAUACGAAGGGGGCUAGCGUUGUUCGGAUUUACUGGGCGUAAAGCGCACGUAGGCGGAUCGAUCAGUCAGGGGUGAAAUCCCAGAGCUCAACUCUGGAACUGCCUUUGAUACUGUCGAUCUGGAGUAUGGAAGAGGUGGGUGGAAUUCCGAGUGUAGAGGUGAAAUUCGUAAAUACUCGGAGGAACACCAGUGGCGAAGGCGGCUCACUGGUUCAUUCUAGACGCUGAGGUGCGAAAGCGUGGGGAGCAAACAGGAUUAGAUACCCCCGUAGUCCCUGUCUCUUAUAC
rnacentral:rRNA from 1 species